rnacentral:rRNA from 1 species
AGAGGAACUUACGACAAGCCAGCUACUUCCGCUGUUGCUCUGGACACCAGAAAAACCAAUGCUGGUCUUAAUCUCUUUCCACCAGCACCAAAAAUUUGUUCUGCGGCAGAUACUAAAACUGGAUUUUCUGCACCAAUAAGCUAUUGA